UAGGGAAUUUUGCGCAAUGGACGAAAGUCUGACGCAGCAACGCCGCGUGAGGGAUGAAGGUCUUCGGAUUGUAAACCUCUGUUGAAUGGGAAAAAAAGGUAGCAAUACUUUGAUGGUACCAUUUGAGGAAGCACCGGCUAACUACGUGCCAGCAGCCGCGGUAAUACGUAGGGUGCAAGCGUUGUUCGGAAUCACUGGGCGUAAAGGGAGCGUAGGCGGGAUCGUAAGUUAGGAGUUUAAUACAUGGGCUUAACCCGUGGCUGGCUUUUAAUACUGCGGUUCUUGAGUAUGGGAGAGGGCGAUGGAAUUCCAGGUGUAGCGGUGGAAUGCGUAGAUAUCUGGAAGAACACCAGUAGCGAAGGCGGUCGCCUGGCCUAAUACUGACGCUGAUGCUCGAAAGCUAGGGGAGCAAACAGG
rnacentral:rRNA from 2 species